CCUCUGCCCUUAAUCGCCGGUUAAGUUUUUGCCUCUAAAUUGAGCAGUGUCCAGCUUGGACUCUUGCAGAGCGGUUUUCUCUCUGUUUGACGCCUCCCUGUUAACUUUCAAGGGCCGCUGUCUUCAGCGGCUCUUUUUCU
rnacentral:sRNA from 1 species